GACGAACGCUGGCGGCGUGCUUAACACAUGCAAGUCGAACGGAAAGGCCCUGCUUUUGUGGGGUGCUCGAGUGGCGAACGGGUGAGUAACACGUGAGUAACCUGCCCUUGACUUUGGGAUAACUUCAGGAAACUGGGGCUAAUACCGGAUAGGAGCUCCUGCUGCAUGGUGGGGGUUGGAAAGUUUCGGCGGUUGGGGAUGGACUCGCGGCUUAUCAGCUUGUUGGUGGGGUAGUGGCUUACCAAGGCUUUGACGGGUAGCCGGCCUGAGAGGGUGACCGGCCACAUUGGGACUGAGAUACGGCCCAGACUCCUACGGGAGGCAGCAGUGGAGAAUAUUGCACAAUGGGCGGAAGCCUGAUGCAGCAACGCCGCGUGCGGGAUGACGGCCUUCGGGUUGUAAACCGCUUUCGCCUGUGACGAAGAGUGAGUGACGGUAAUGGGUAAAGAAGCACCGGCUAACUACGUG
rnacentral:rRNA from 1 species